UACGGGGGGUGCAAGCGUUGUUCGGAAUCAUUGGGCGUAAAGCGCGCGCAGGCGGCUUGGUAAGUCAGAUGUGAAAUCCCUGGGCUUAACCCAGGAAGUGCAUUUGAUACUGCCUCGCUAGAGUACGGGAGAGGAAAGUGGAAUUCCUGGUGUAGAGGUGAAAUUCGUAGAUAUCAGGAGGAACACCGGUGGCGAAGGCGACUUUCUGGCCCGAUACUGACGCUCAGACGCGAAAGCUAGGGUAGCAAACGGG
rnacentral:rRNA from 1 species